ensembl:lncRNA
CUUUUGAUUAGGUGCAUUAGCUCAUAAAAAGUCCAGGUGGUCUGAGUGCUGGCAUAUUGUCAGAAAGAUGUUGUUUAUCCACAGUGUGCUGUUCUUGAUGCUUGUGCCCACAGCUGUGGCCCAAACAGUGACACUCCUUCCACCUACUGUAGGAGUUCCACGGAUAAGAUACAGGGUAGACCAGUGGACCAUCUCUGUGGAGACUCCACAGAGUUAUGACUCAGAUGAGCUUCAGCCCUAUGACUCAGAUGAGCUUCAGCCCUAUGACUCAGGUGAGCUUCAGCCCUAUGACUCAGAUGAGCUUCAACCCUAUGAGUCAGAUGAGAUCCAACCCAUUGGACCAGACAAGUCUCUUGGUGCCAAUGAACAAGGUGAGCUGACUGAGUCUCCAGUCUGGGUUCUGUUUCUGGUGGUCCCUAUGGUGUUGUUGACUGCUAUGGGAGCUCUGGCUGUGGGUUACUACCAGUGUGUGUGGAGGGGAGGCAGACUAGGCUACCGGCCCCGCAGAGACCUCUUGACAAACGUUUAACCAAUUUGCUUUCUGCUCUGUUUGGUUUGAAAAUAAAUUGUUGCUAAUAAAUGUUAGUUCCCUGACUCCUGCAUCUUGUAAAAUUAUACUGCUGUGUAUGUCCAUUACAUGAAACAAACACAAGACCUCGUAGUUUCCUGAUGUCAGUGACUGGAUUGCUACUGACACUGCUACAUGGCACAACGCAUGCCAAAUCUGGACCUAGGCAGUUCUAGGUUGUCAAAAUGGUUUUCUUUGGGAUAGACACGUUCACCUUAUGUUUCUGUUAUGUUAGGGUUGUUGGUAAGCUGUUAUUUAGGACAAAUUCAUUGACUUGUUUUGGUGUCGCAUUCAGGUGACUGACCUGAUGGUGCUCCUGAUUGUGAAACACUACUGUGAUAACGACUGCAAUCCAAAGGUUCUUUAUUUGAUGCUGAUUUUCAGAGCAACUUUAAAAAU